rnacentral:rRNA from 1 species
UGGGGAAUAUUGGACAAUGGGCGCAAGCCUGAUCCAGCCAUGCCGCGUGAGUGAUGAAGGCCCUAGGGUUGUAAAGCUCUUUCACCGGUGAAGAUAAUGACGGUAACCGGAGAAGAAGCCCCGGCUAACUUCGUGCCAGCAGCCGCGGUAAUACGAAGGGGGCUAGCGUUGUUCGGAUUUACUGGGCGUAAAGCGCACGUAGGCGGACUUUUAAGUCAGGGGUGAAAUCCCGGGGCUCAACCCCGGAACUGCCUUUGAUACUGGAAGUCGUGAGUAUGGUAGAGGUGAGUGGAAUUCCGAGUGUAGAGGUGAAAUUCGUAGAUAUUCGGAGGAACACCAGUGGCGGAGGCGGCUCCCUGGACCAUUACUGACGCUGAGGUGCGAAAGCGUGGGGAGCAAACAGG